rnacentral:rRNA from 1 species
UACGUAGGGUGCAAGCGUUGUCCAGAAUUAUUGGGCGUAAAGAGCUCGUAGGCGGUUUGUCGCGUCUGCUGUGAAAACUCGGGGCUUAACUCCGGGCCUGCAGUGGGUACGGGCAGACUAGAGUGCGGUAGGGGAGACUGGAAUUCCUGGUGUAGCGGUGAAAUGCGCAGAUAUCAGGAGGAACACCGGUGGCGAAGGCGGGUCUCUGGGCCGAUACUGACGCUGAGGAGCGAAAGCGUGGGGAGCAAACAGG